GGAGGGUGCGAGCGUUAAUCGGAAUCACUGGGCGUAAAGCGCACGUAGGCGCAGCAUCAAGUCAGGCGUGAAAGCCCUCGGCUCAACCGGGGAAUUGCGUUUGAAACUGGUGMGCUGGAGUCUCGGAGAGGUUGGCGGAAUUCCAGGUGUAGGAGUGAAAUCCGUAGAUAUCUGGAGGAACACCGGUGGCGAAGGCGGCCAACUGGACGAGAACUGACGCUGAGGUGCGAAAGCGUGGGUAGCAAACAGGAUUAGAUACCCUGGUAGUCCACGCUGUAAACGAUGGAUAUUAGGUGUCGGGGGUUUACUUCGGUGCCGCAGUUAACGCGUUAAAUAUCCCGCC
rnacentral:rRNA from 1 species